rnacentral:rRNA from 14 species
AUCCUCGGCCAUAGCCUUUGCAUGAAAUACCACGUCCCGUCCGAUCCGUGAAGUCAAGUUGCAUAUCGCUCGGUUAGUACCAAGGUGGGGGACCACUUGGGAAUCCCGGGUGCCGAGG